UCCCAGUACUCAGUGUUGAUUUUCUGUCAGGGAAACACUGACACCAGCAUCCUUGGAGCACCCACAAAUGUGUCAGCCUGCCUACGGUCUGUGCUGUCCUUUGUCUCACCUUGUGUCUGAAAAUCGGGACUGUCAUGGACCUCCAUCUGCAAGACAAGGGUUGAGGGCGCAGGACACUACCUUCUCCACAUCCUCACACCACUUGUUACCGAGCCAGCUCAUACUCCACAUCACUAUCAAAGAGACACAUUUAAAACAACAAUUGAGCUAUAUGGCCACACGUUACCUUUAAGGAGUUGCAGGUCAGCGGCUGGAUCUGACAGACUGUGCCUCUCUCGGGAAGGAGUGAGUCUGGGGUGAAUGUGGCAGCAACUACACAAGUAAGGUCAGUCACGAAGUCUUGACUGCACGAUCUGGGGAGACCAGCCCCACUCAAGCUGAGAAAAAGGGACCCA
rnacentral:lncRNA from 1 species